GGGAAGAGGCUGAGAACACUGAGAGAACAGGUGUGGAAGAUCAGGGAUGAAGAACGGACUGGGAACAGAAGGACACCUGGUCUGGAUGUCCACUUAUCUCAAGGGACAGGGCCAACCUGCAAUGCCCCUCACCUCUCACUGGUGGGGUCCGAGCAGUUCAGUGGGUACUUAAGGUGGAUGAUGGUGCCAUCUCGGUCCUGCAGGAUGCCCUGCUGCUGCGUGUAAUACUCGACCAGCUCUGUCAGCGUCGCAAACUUCUCCCCUCCGUACAGGUCAUAGAAGUCCCCUGAGUUCUGGAUCCGAAUAUGAGUCACCUGAUCAUCCACCCUGCGAGGCACCACCAGACGACAUCUUGCUGUAUGUGGCCAGGCUAGCCUCAAACUCAAGAUCCUCCUACCUCGGCCUCUCCUGUCAUCCUACACCACUCUUCCCAGCUGAGACAACUGUAUCGCUGUUAUUGUAGCAUGACAAUCCUGUUUACUCGUGAUGUGACUAUCCCAAGUUUAGAAACAAAAGUGAAAACUGAAGGCUCAUUCGGUAACUUGCCCACAGUCACGAGGUUCCAGUGAGUGGGAAGGUGAAAAAAACCCAAAGCUGUCUGAGGCCAGAGAUCUGUUUGCCAACUGCACCAUCAGGCUUUAAGGAGCUGCCGGGUACCGAAAAGCCUGGAGAUGGAGAUGGCGGAUACAGGUCACCCCCACGGGCAGAUGGACCAAGACACAGAGGUGUCAUGGAAACCGUGCACUUGGGUUGUUCGGUGUAAGCAGAGCAAAGCAGCUGAACCAAAGCAUGCAGGGGCUGGACCCCCGAAGCAGAGGUCUUCCAAGUCCAGGUUAAAGAACCAAGAAAGGUUCUAUAAUGGGAGAUUCCUUGUCAAGGCAGAUGGGAAGUCUCGGCACCACCCCCGGGCCGGCAGGGACGAGAUACACACCGGAGGAAGAGGGUACACAGAAAGAAUUGAAUGAGUAUGAAAAGCCAAACUCAGCAGGACCCCUGUACAGACCACCCACAAAGUCACCAGAACUCUCUGAGUGGGCCUUCACUACCCAAACUCCACCAGAAGUCUAAGGUGCCCAUGGCUUUCUUCUUGGGUGAACACACUAUCCUUUGCCCAUUUGUCCCCAGACAUCACUCAGCUCAGCUCAAACAUCAUCUGGAAGCCCUCCCUGUCAGCCAAUUAUGUCUCCAGAAUACAUCACUUGCUGCUUCUUUUCCUGCGUGUUAGUUAGUUAGUGCUUCGGCCAUCUGAAAUAAUCCUAGUUAUUGCCUGUGUAUUCACUCUGUCAUCUCUGGCUGGAAUGCCUGCUCUCUAAGCAGAGAUCAUGUCUGCCUCAUAUUCAUAUUACCAACAAACAUCGUCAUCAGUACCUGUC
ensembl:antisense Gm20531 predicted gene 20531